ACGGGAGGCAGCAGUGGGGAAUAUUGGGCAAUGGGCGAAAGCCUGACCCAGCAACGCCGCGUGAAGGAAGAAGGUCUUCGGAUUGUAAACUUUUUUGACAGGGGACGACACAAGACGGUACCCUGAAAACAAGCCACGGCUAACUACGUGCCAGCAGCCGCGGUAAUACGUAGGUGGCAAGCGUUAUCCGGAUUUACUGGGUGUAAAGGGCGUGUAGCCGGGGGAGCAAGUCAGAUGUGAAAUCUAUGGGCUUAACCCAUAAACUGCAUUUGAAACUGUUCUUCUUGAGUGCUGGAGGGGCAAUCGGAAUUCCUUGUGUAGCGGUGAAAUGCGUAGAUAUAAGGAGGAACACCAGUGGCGAAGGCGGAUUGCUGGACAGUAACUGACGGUGAGGCGCGAAAGUGUGGGGAGCAAACAGGAUUAGAUACCCUGGUA
rnacentral:rRNA from 1 species